UACAGAGGUCUCAAGCGUUGUUCGGAUUCAUUGGGCGUAAAGGGUGCGUAGGCGGCGCGGUAAGUCGGGUGUGAAAUCUCGGAGCUUAACUCCGAAACUGCAUUCGAUACUGCGGUGCUUGAGGACUGGAGAGGAGACUGGAAUUCAUGGUGUAGCAGUGAAAUGCGUAGAGAUCGUAAGGAAGACCAGUGGCGAAGGCGGGUCUCUGGACAGUUCCUGACACUGAGGCACGAAGGCCAGGGGAGCAAACGGG
rnacentral:rRNA from 1 species